GUCUGCCACCACACCACCCUGAAUGCACCCAAUCUUGGAAGCUAAGCAAGGUCAGGCCUGGUUAGUACUUGGAUGGGAGACA
rnacentral:rRNA from 1 species